GCAGGGCUGAAUACUGUGUUUUUUUUUAUCAGUGGUUUACAUAGCCAGACACCAUUCAAAAAAAAAAAAAAAGAAAGAAAAAAAGCAGUCUUCCCUUUAAAGUGGUUAUAAUCAUAUGCUAAGUUUUUUUCAUAGCAUAUCAUUAUUAAAGGGAAAUACAAAG